rnacentral:misc_RNA from 1 species
GAUGAAGAACGCAGCGAAAUGCGAUAAGUAAUGUGAAUUGCAGAAUUCAGUGAAUCAUCGAAUCUUUGAACGCACCUUGCACCCUUUGGCAUUCCGAAGGGUAUGCUCGUUUGAGUGUCAUUGUACUCUCACACUCUCCGAUCCUAUGGAUUUGGGGAGCGGUGGACUUGGGUGUUGCUGCCUUUCCUUGUGGCUCACCUCAAAUGUGUCAGUGCACCUCUUGGUUGGACAUAGUACGGCGUGAUAAGUGUCUUCGCCGGCACCUCGCAAGAGGGUGGCCGAUCGGGAGCUCUGUGCUUUCAAACCGUCUUCGGACAAUUUCUGACAACUUGACCUCAAAUCGAGUAGGACUACCCGCUGAACUUAAGCAUAUCAAUAAGCGGAGGA